rnacentral:tRNA from 1 species
CAAAGAAUAGUUUAGUUUAGAAUCCUAGCUCUUGGGAGUUAGGGGUGG